GACGUAGGGCGCGAGCGUUGUCCGGAUUUAUUGGGCGUAAAGAGCUCGUAGGCGGCUUGUCGCGUCGUCCGUGAAAACCUGCGGCUCAACUGCAGGCUGGCGGUCGAUACGGGCAGGCUGGAGUUCGGUAGGGGAGACUGGAAUUCCUGGUGUAGCGGUGAAAUGCGCAGAUAUCAGGAGGAACACCGGUGGCGAAGGCGGUCUUCUGGACGGUGACUGACGCUGAGGCGCGAAAGCCAGGGGAGCGAACGGG
rnacentral:rRNA from 1 species